UGCUUUCAAAGGCCAAUCUGUUAAUGCUUUAAUCGGUGAAAACAAACUUCUUAGUCUGAGUUUUGAGCAUCAUGUGACUGUAGAACUCACAUGGUAGACACACUGUCUCAGUUCUUUACUCUAGCAGAAGCUCAAGAAACAUUAAGGACAUCGGGUUAGUUUGCUGUGGGCCAAAGUCAGGUGAUCAGCUUCUGACUUGGUGCAGCCAUGAGUGGGGGAGUGAAUGUGAAGAGUCUUCCACGAGCCCAGCCGGGCUCCGGCAUCCCUCUGCAUAGGACCAGACUCCCCUCCCCAAAACCUGAGCCCAAGAGCACCAGCAGUGGCCUUCCAAGACCAUCCACACAUGUCCCCGUUAGCAACAGAACCUCCUGUAGUGGCAGCCCUACAGCUGUCUCCUCCAGAGACGUGCUAAGGGACACCACCCUCAGAAACCAGCAUCUGCUACUAAGAGGCAGUCCUCCUAGUCAACGAGCUUCCACUACUUCUCAAAUACAGACCCAAGACUCUAGAUCAGCCCACAGCAGUCCACAAGUUCGACGGAAAGAGUCCCCACUUUUGAGGGGUACUAUGGAUGGGUCCAGGACAGAGAGUUUGCUUGACCUUCGGUCCAAUGGCAACAAGAACUUCCAGAGUGGAAUCUUUCAUUCCCAGAUGGGACGAAUGGACAACGAUAACAGUUUGAUCUCAGAAAAACUCAAAUGCCACGAGGAGAGCGCUGCUUCUGGAAGCAGUCAAAGCAAGACAGGAAUCCCUUCAUUCAGAUUUAGUAACAAAAACUUGAGGCCUGGUCCAGCGGCCACUACCGUAGAUACGGGUCUCCUCAGAGUCCGUCGAGAGAGAGUGUCCCUGCAGAACAGUGCCUCCAGUAGUUUUUCAGAUGAGGAGAUGUGCACUCCAGAUGACCUCAGUCCCGAGGUCCCACAGAAGCCACCCCCCGAGACUACUGCAGUCCCAAAACAGGAAACCUCUAGUGUUGAGAUGCUCAAAACCAAACAGUUACCAAAGGUCAACAUGGCUGCUGUGGCACCUUUCAGAUACAGACUGCAGAUUCAGGAAGACAUUUCUCUGGAUGACUUCAGCGACUGUUCCUCUGACUCAAUAGAAGUCUGCUGUGAUGACCUCAAUACUGGUGAGUUCUUGGCACUCUCAUUUGGACUCUCAUUUUAUUACCUUUUGGAUAGACUUUAAUAUUAAUCUAAAUAACCAGUUAUGUUUUUAAGUUA
rnacentral:lncRNA from 1 species